GUGCGAGUGAGUGGCAGUGAGUGUGAGUGCAGGUGAGUGCGAGUGAGCGCCAGUGAGUGUGAGUGCAGGUGAGUGCGAGCGCGAGUGAGUGCCAGUGAGUGUGAGUGCAGGUGAGUGCGAGUGCGAGUGAGUGCCAGUGAGUGUGAGUGCAGGUGAGUGCGAGUGAGUGCCAGUGAGUGUGAGCGCAGGUGAGUGCGAGUGCGAGUGAGUGCCAGUGAGUGUGAGUGCAGGUGAGUGCGAGGGAGUGUGAGCGCAGGUGAGUGCGAGUGAGUGCGAGUGCGAGUGAGUGCCAGUGAGUGUGAGUGCAGGUGAUUGCGAGUGAGUGCCAGUGAGUGUGAGU